UACAGAGGUCUCGAGCGUUAGGCGGAAUCACUGGGCUUAAAGCGUGUGUAGGCGGAUCGGUAAGUACCUUGUGAAAUCCCACAGCUUAACUGUGGAACUGCUUGGUAUACUGCCAGUCUUGAGCCAGCUAGGGGCUACCGGAACAAAUGGUGGAGCGGUGAAAUGCGUAGAUAUCAGGAAGAACACCCGUGGCUAAGGCGGCUCUCUAGUACGGUACUGACGCUGAGACGCGAAAGCGUGGGGAGCGAACAGG
rnacentral:rRNA from 1 species